ACAGAAAAUCAACGGCAUGCUGC
rnacentral:siRNA from 1 species